UAACGUCCGAGAUGAUUAUCAUCUACCAUAGCUAUCUCUGUUUAAACGAGUUUGCACCUCUUCUUACAAAGAAAUCAAAAGUAAAGACACACGAGUAGUCUACUGUCUAGUCCGUCUUGGAAGAACCGAUGAUUGCAACCUGAGCUUCAAAGCAGCACUUUGUUUUCAUGAGAUAACCCUUUGACGAGUCCUUGAAUUCCUCCAGCGUCAUGAACUUGUCCCAUCCCCACAUCGGGGCAUUCUUUGAGAAUUGGCACCGGCCUACAAUUCCCCAAACAAACAAUGUGUCAAUGAGGAAAUGUGGUAUAAAUUAGCAUCUCUCAACUACAGCCCAUUGCACAAAAUUUCUGCUAAACACAGCGAACCUGUCAAUUUACGGUGCUUGCCGGUUUCCUGGUCUUUGACGCAUAUGCUUAAUUCGACCAUGGUUCUGGAGUUCUGAUGGCGUGUCUCUGGCAUCUUCAUAUUCAGGGCCAAGUAGAGGUAGUUCUCAUUGUUACUGGAUCCAGAUGAUUGGAUAAUGAUGGAACUGAAAUUGGAGAGCUCAAAUAGGUAAGUCCUUUUUUUUUUAACCAUUUUUUCAUGAGCUCUUUUACGGUAAUUGGCGAGUACUUUUCAGUACUUCUCAGUGCUUCUGCGAGAAUUAAUUCGGUCCGUUGAUUAUCGGGUUACUGACGUUGCCCGCAAAAAUUGGAUCUUAUUGGGCUCAUGCGGCCCGAUCGUUCAGUUUUGUGGCUCAUGUGGACAUCUGGGCUCUUGACAUCGACACACACGAAGCGGCCAGCAGGCGCUUCCUCUCAUGCUGCCGCCGCCACCUCUCCUCCUGCCUCAUGGAGCCUCCAUCUCCUCCCUCUCCUUCCGCCCUCAUGUAGACCCUGCUAUCGCGGCUCGAUCCCUCAGUCCCAGCGGCGCCGUCGGGGCCGUGGUGGCAGCGGCCGACAUGGCGGAGGAGGCGGAAGCGCCGUCGCCCAAGGCGCUGUGGCUGAACGUGAUGACGACGACACUGAGGCGGCUUAGAUUGGCGUCCUGAAGCACCGGCUCAAGAGCACCAUGUCCAGGAAGCCCAUUGUUGGAGCACG
rnacentral:lncRNA from 1 species